rnacentral:rRNA from 1 species
AGAGUUUGAUCAUGGCUCAGAUUGAACGCUGGCGGCAGGCUUAACACAUGCAGGUCGAGCGGGGAAGAGUAGCUUGCUACUUGACCUAGCGGCGGACGGGUGAGUAAUGCUUAGGAAUCUGCCUAUUAGUGGGGGACAACAUCUCGAAAGGGAUGCUAAUACCGCAUACGUCCUACGGGAGAAAGCAGGGGACCUUCGGGCCUUGCGCUAAUAGAUGAGCCUAAGUCGGAUUAGCUAGUUGGUGGGGUAAAGGCUUACC